rnacentral:rRNA from 1 species
AAGUUUGAUCAUGGCUCAGAUUGAACGCUGGCGGCAUGCCUUACACAUGCAAGUCGAACGGCAGCACGGGAGCUUGCUCCUGGUGGCGAGUGGCGAACGGGUGAGUAAUACAUCGGAACGUACCCUGAAGUGGGGGAUAACGUAGCGAAAGUUACGCUAAUACCGCAUAUUCUGUGAGCAGGAAAGAGGGGGAUCGCAAGACCUCUUGCUUUAGGAGCGGCCGAUGUCGGAUUAGCUAGUUGGUGAGGUAAAGGCUCACCAAGGCGACGAUCCGUAGCGGGUCUGAGAGGAUGAUCCGCCACACUGGGACUGAGACACGGCCCAGACUCCUACGGGAGGCAGCAGUGGGGAAUUUUGGACAAUGGGCGCAAGCCUGAUCCAGCCAUGCCGCGUGAGUGAAGAAGGCCUUCGGGUUGUAAAGCUCUUUCGGUGGGGAAGAAAUUGCUUCGGUUAAUACCUGGAGUAGAUGACGGUACCCGCAUAAGAAGCACCGGCUAACUACGUG